CCGAGUGCGGGCCCGCUCUGGGCCCAACCUCCCACCCGUGUCUCGUGCGUACUGUGUUGCUUUGGCGGGCCCACCAGGUCAGUCUGGUCGCCGGGGGGCGCUAUGCUCCCGGGCCCGUGUCCGCCAGAGCACCCCUGUGAACCCUGAUGAAGAGAGGCUGUCUGAGUCCCACGAUAAUCGUUA
rnacentral:misc_RNA from 1 species